AGAUUGCCAGUCGAGAUGCGGCAAAGCAGAGGCAAACAGCUAGGCACAAAGCAAUAGAGUUGUAAACUUUGUUUUUUUUUGUUUUUUGUUUUUUUUUCCUGCUGCCGCCUAUACUGCCUCUCUCCCAUAGGAAGAACACUACCUCUGGGUAGCCAGGAGCUGAGAUGCAGUCUGAAUGUUCACGGUGGCUUCUGACGUGGCAGCGUGAAUUCUCAGCUGGGCAGGGAGGAACCGGAGGUAUGAAUGACAACUGUUUGAGAAGAAGGUCCCAAAUCCCUCUCUUAAAACCUUGGGAUUGUGCUUGAGACUCAGCCCCGAUGUGUUCCGUGGUGAGUCACUCACCUGGUUUACCCACACUGUAUGCUCCCCCUACCUGCCCCUACCUUGUCAUAAGUGCUGAGGAUUGAACCCAUGGCCUCGUUGCAUGUCAGGGCUCCAGUGCAGAUUUAGAUCCACCUUCUGGAUGCUUUGGUCCCUGGAACAAGGCAGCAGGCUCUUGCUAUCAAGAACCUGUCCCUGAGAAGGUGCUGGGAACAUUAAAUCUUCAUGUCUGGAGGACAAGAAAACUAAAAGUACUCAUUGUUCAGUAGCCACUGAGGCUGAUGGGAGGCGGGACUGUGGAUUCACGUGGCUGACGAUGACUGGUCUUCCUGGCCAUAUUACUUUCUCUUUCUUUUAUCAAGUACAGACAUGGCGCCUGCCUGGAGUGGUGGUAUGAGUGCCCAAUCUCAACGAAACAACCAAGGCCACCUGUUCCCAUUUUUUUUUAUUGCUGUUGUUACAUGUGUAUAUGUGACAUAUGUGCAUGUAUGUUCAUGUGUUUGUGGGUACACAUUGUAUGCCGGUGUGUGUGGAUAUGUCUCUACGUGGCCAUUGAAGAAAUUAAAACAGGAAGACUCGAUUGUUAUCGA
rnacentral:lncRNA from 1 species